rnacentral:rRNA from 1 species
UGGCAUGGUUGUCGUCAGCUCGUGUCGUGAGGUGUUGGGUUAAGUCCCGCAACGAGCGCAACCCCUAUUGUUAGUUGCUAUCAUUCAGUUGGGCACUCUAGCGAGACUGCCGGUAAUAAACCGGAGGAAGGUGGGGAUGACGUCAAAUCAUCAUGCCCCUUAUGACCUGGGCUACACACGUGCUACAAUGGUUGGUACAACGAGUUGCGAGUCGGUGACGGCGAGCUAAUCUCUUAAAGCCAAUCUCAGUUCGGAUUGUAGGCUGCAACUCGCCUACAUGAAGUCGGAAUCGCUAGUAAUCGCGGAUCAGCACGCCGCGGUGAAUACGUUCCCGGGCCUU